rnacentral:lncRNA from 1 species
AAACCAACUGCUUCCUCAGGGCUUUCUCUGCCCUGCUGCAUCUUUCUGCAGCUCUCUCUCCUCCUCCUGCUGGGGCUCUCUCUCUCCACCUGCUGGGGCUCUCUCUCUCCUCCUGCUGGGGCUCUCUCUCUCUGUCCUGCUGAGGCUAUCACUCUCUCCCUCCUGCUGGGGCUCUCUCUCCCUCCUUCUGGGGCUCUUGCUCCUCCUCCUCCUGCUGGGACUCUGUCUCCUCCCACUCCUGCUGGGGCUGUCUCUGCUGCUUCUCUGGCUGGGCUCUCUAUACUCCUCCUGCUGGGGCUCUCACUCCUCCUCCUGGUGGGGCUCUCUCUCUCUCUCUCCCCUCCUGCUGGGCCUCUCACUCCUCCUCCUAGGGGGCUCCCUCUCCUCCUCCUCCUGCUGGGGCUCUCUCUCUCCCUCCUGCUGGAGCUCUCUCUCCCUCCUGCUUGGGCUCUGUCUUCUCCUCCUGCUGGGUCUCUCUCCUCCUCCUGCUGGGCUCUCUCUCCUCCUCCUGCUGGGUCUCUCUCUCUCUCUCUCCUCCUGCUGGGGCUCUCUCUCUCCCUCCUGCUGGGGCUCUCUCCUCCUCCUGCUGGGACUCUCUCUCUCUCUCCUCCUGCUGGGGCUCUCUCCUCCUCCUGCUGGUGCUCUCUCUACUCCUCCUGCUGGGGCUCUCUCUCUCCUGCUACUGGGGCUCUAUCUCUCUCUUCCUCCUGCUGGGGCUCUCACUCCUCCUCCUCCUGCUGUGGCUCUCUCUCCUCCUCCUGCUGGGGCUCUCUCUCCUCCUCCUCCUGCUGGGGCUCUCUCUCUCUCUGCCUCCUGCUGGGGCUCUCUCUCUCUCUCUCCUCCUGCUGGGGCUCUCACUCCUCCUCCUGCUGGGGCUCUCUCUCUCCUCCUGCAGGGGCUCUCUCCUCCUCCUGCUGGGGUUCUCUAUGCUGCUCCUCUGGCUGGGCUCUCUAUACUCCUCCUGCUGGGGCUCUCUCAGCCUCUUGCUGGGGCUCUCUCUCUCUCUCUCCUCCUGCUGGGGCUCUCACUCCUCCUCCCGCUGGGUGUCUCUCCUCCUCCUGGUGGGCUCUCUCCUCCUCCUGCUGGGGCUCUCUCUCCCUCCUGCUGGGUCUCUCUCCUCCUCCUGCAGGGGCUCACUCCUCCUGGAGCUCUCUCUCCCCCUGUGGCUGUCUCUGCAUUUGUGUCCUCUGUCUUACGUCUCCGGAUGUUGUUACACCUCAUGCUGUUCUCAUUCUCCUCUUCUCAUGGGUGAGGCUGCUGUCCUUCUGCAUGUCCGUUUUCUUCCCACCCUUAUGUCAGUUCCUUCACAUGCUCAGGCUCCACAGGCAGCCCAGCCUCUGGGCAUGCUCGCUCGCAGUGACAUCCCAGAGCCUUUUUUUGUAG